UUUGAAUGAAACCCUUUCCGAAUGAAAGGAGAAAGAUAUUUCCAAAAGGAAGGGAAAUUCAAAAUGGUGCACCAUCUCCCAGUGCAAAAUCAGGAAGAAGGAAAAACAGAGUUCAACUCUUUAUCUUUAUUUUUUUUCCUUCAGUAGCAUGCACAUUCUUAACUAAUUCUAUUUUAUACUGUGGAACAGAAUGGGUUAACUAACCCAUAUUCCCCAUCUAAAUCUAUAUAUAUUAGGCUUCAUUUGUGUUAUAUAUGAUUUUCUCACUGAUUCAAUAAAACGAGUUGGUUUGCUUCCACUGAUAUGGUAUCAAAGAAAUAACUCUCUUCUUCAUUCUUGAUUCUUGAUCAUGGAUCCUCCAUGCACAAGAAGUUAUGCCCGAAGCUCUUCUACCCUAGACCAAGAAACCACAGACCUGGUCGUUGACUCCACAACUCCAACAACCCUAAUCACAGAACCCAUGGUUCUGCCUCUAGGAUGCACAACAUCGGCUUCAAUCGCAGAGCUUCGACUGCUGCUGCCACUGCUCAAACUACCUCAACUUCCAAUCGAUCUGCACCACUCCAAUCCCCAAUCAAUGACCUACACAUGAGGAUAAGGGAAGUCCCUACUACCUCAUCAAUGGAGAUCACCCUAUAAUACAAUUGGCCUCUCCGGUUCUUUCUGAAUCGAAUUUCCCUUCAUGGAAAUGUUCGAUUCUCAUAUCCCUUGGAGCCCAGAAAAAGUUGGAAUUUAUUGAUGGAUCUCUUCCCGAACCCCCAUCAACCGAUCCACUCUUCUCCUCUUGGCUCAGGGUAAACAACAUGAUAAAGUCUUGGAUUUUAACUUCCAUUUCUAAAGAAACUAGAGAUUCUAUGAUGUAUCUGAAAAACAGCUGCAGCCAUUUGGCAAGACAUUGAUGAAAGAUUUAGUGAAGGGAAUGGUCCAAGAAUUUUUGAACUCAAGCAAUUCUUGUCUUUACUUCGACACAGAGAUGAUACCGUUAGCGCUUAUUUUUCCUAACUCAAAGCCCUUUAGGAUGAAAUCAAUGAGUAUCAAUCCUUCACCAUCUGUUCUUGUGAAGCUGGAAAGAAAAAUCUUCCGCUAUACAAUCGGGAUCAGAUUUUACAGUUUCUAACUGGAUUAAAUGAGCCAUUCAAUUCCAUUAGAAGUCAAAUUUUGUUGAUUGAACCUUUUUUCUCUCUUUCUAAAGAUUUUUCUAUGGUUGUUCAUGAUGAAAAACAACGCAAGAUUGGCACCUCUGUCACUAACAAUCUUGUUGCAGCUACUCUAACACAGAAGCCACAGAAUCUACACCGAACUCACGCACAAAAUUCAGUUCCACCCACUCAGAAUACCAAUACAUAUUAUUCUCGAACAAAGAAACCAAGAGUUUCUUGUUCAAACUGUCACAAACUAGGACACCUCAUUGACAAAAGCUUCUUUCUUCACGGUUUUCCACCUGGUUAUGGUGAUAAAAAGAGGCAAAGUGACAAAACUCCUACUUCACAAGCCUCUGUCAAUGCUGCCGACUCUCAUAACUUGGUUGGUUUUACAGACAACUGCCAAAACCUCAUGGCCUUGUUGACUCAACAACUGCAAAAUCAACCCAGCACGAGUUCUGUUGCCCCAACCAUAUCAAAUUUUUCUGAACAACAUCUCCACCUCAUCUUGAAGCUCUCCCUCGACUGCAAAAUCUACAACCAAAUUAGGUCACACCAUUCAACAACCUAAACAUCUCCUAGAUUAUGUUUGUACUGCGUCCACCACUGCCCAUCCUCGUUCUAUCUCCUUUAACACGUUGACACCACAAUUCUGAGCAACUGCUCUUACUGCCCAUGGUGUACAAGAGCCUCACACAUAUUCUCAAGCCAACAACAUGUAUGGUAGCAAGCCAUGAAAUCUGAAAUUGAAGCACUUGAGGCUAACAAAACUUGGAAGAUUAUAUCCUUACCUCGCGGUUGUCAUUCCAUUGGUAGAAAAUGGGUUUAUAAGAUCAAAUACAAACCAAAUGGUGAGAUAGAAUGCUACAAAGCACAUCUUGUGGCUAAAGGUUACACUCAACAACAAGGAGUGGAUUAUUCAGAAACUUUUGCACCAGUGGCCAAAUUUACAACACUUCAGCUUGCUCUUGAUGCCAUAAGCAACUAGACCCUCCAUCAAAUGGACAUCAACAAUGCCUUUCUCCGUGAUGACCUCCACAAAGAUGUUUACAUGAAGUUACCUCAAGGUUAUACUCCUAAGGGGGUCCUCCCUCCCAACUCAGUUUGCAAGCUACAAAAUAGUCUCUACGACCUCAAACAAGCUUCACAGCAAUGGUUUCAAAAAUUGAGCUCCAAUCUUCUUUAUGAUGGUUUCAUCCAAUCACUCAUUGUUUAUAAAAAACAAAUCAGGUGUUUUCUUAGCCAUCCUUAUCUAUGUUGAUGAUAUAGUUAUUGCUAGCAAUAAUGAAAAUGUUGUCUAUAAUUUUAAAAGAAAUUUAGAUAGCUAUUUCAAACUAAAAGACCUAGGAAAAUUGAGAUUUUUCUUAGGAUUAGAAAUAACAAGAUCUCCAAAAGAUAUUUUUUUUCUCAAAUACUAUUACCCUACAACUUUUGUCUGAUGAAGGAUAUCUUGGUGCAAAGACUGCUUCCUCUCCAAUGGAGCCCAAUAUCAAACUAGCCUUGAUGAAGAACUUCUUCCAGAUGCUACUGCCUACCAAAGCAUGAUUGGGAAGCUCAUCUACCUCACCAUUACUCGCCUCGACAUAUCCUAUGGUGUCAAUCAGCUCAGCCAAUUCCUCACUACCCCAAGGAAACCACACUUAUAAGCUACUCAACACAUCCUCCAAUUCCUUAAAGGAACUCCGGGACGAGGUGUAACAUCCCAAAUUUUCUAAUGUGGCUUGGUGCCUAGAUUAGGGUGCUGGGAGGCAAUAAUUGUAUUAAUUGUGUGAUUAUGUAUUAUGAGCAUGUGAUUAUGUGAAUUAUAUUAUAAUAUAAUUAUGCUUGCAUGUUUUGAAAUAUUAAAUAUGCAUGUGGGCUCGUUUCUUAUAACAAGGGCAUUUAGUAAUUUUGACUAGUUAAGGGUAUACUUGUAAAUAUAUGUGUGUAUAAUUGAUCCCUGCUUGGUUCACAAGGUCACAUUGGCUGCUCAUCCUAAGUUUACUUCACAAGAUGUUUUCUUACCUCUUCUGGUUCUUGAUAAGUCGUUUCAGCCUCUGUCCUCCAAGCCUGUUCCUCCUCCACAGCCUCUGAAAUACCCCCUUUUGAAGGGCUUACCUCCUGCCUCAUGGAAAUAUAAGUUGUUUGAAAUGCUUUACACUCAGCAAUCACAGUUAGACAGUCUUCAGAAUUCAUUGCUGCAAUCUCAACAGCGUUCCAAGGUUUUUGAACGAAGGGUUUUGGCUCAAUUGGCUGGUCUUCGACAGGUUGUUCAGACUUUUUCUCCUUCUGUUGUUCAGGGGGUUGGUUCAGUGCCUCAGUCUGCUCCUUCUCCGGCUAAUUCCCAGGGGGAGUUGUCUCCUACUGCAUCUGAUAAGGCUCCGGGUACUGUCCAGGGGGAGUUUGCUUCUACUUCUGCUGGUCCUUCUGUCUCUGUUCCUGCUCUAUCCUCAUCUCCUCCGCGGAAGCUUAUGCGUGGCAGACUUCGUCGCUCGGCUCGUUUAUGAUCAUUGAGGGGGAGAUUUGGGUGGUUUUUGAGUGUCUUUUUUUUUUUAUGUUCUUAUUUUGUUUGCACUGAUCAUAAAAUUGCCAAGGGGGAGAUUGUAAGUGUCUUACUUUGUGUUGUCUGUAUUUUGGCAAUUUCAUGAUUCAUCUGUUAGUUUCUUAGUUCCAUCUGUUUUGUGUAUCUUGACAGAAUUUUGGUUUAUCUUCUGUUUUGCCAGUUGCAUCUGGCUGUUGGACAUUGUUUUAAUUGACUGCUUGCUUUGGCUUUGUCUGAA